GCGCUCAUAGCUCAGUUGGUAGAGCGCGGCACUAGUAUCACGUGAUGCCGAGGUCUACGGUGCGUCCCGCCAGAGCCGCCAGUCCCUCGGGCGCCGGCUGACGAUCUUCGCAGGUUCAACUCCGUAUGGGCGCA